rnacentral:rRNA from 1 species
GAAGGCCCUUCAAACCGGCUGGAUUAUUUUUAUUCACCCUUGUCUUUUGCGCACUUGUUGUUUCCUGGGCGGGUUCGCUCGCCACCAGGACCACAUCAUAAACCUUUUUUGUUAAUGCAAUCAGCGUCAGUAUAACAAAUGUAAAUCAUUUACAACNUUUCAACAACGGAUCUCUUGGUUCUGGCAUCGAUGAAGAACGCAGCGAAAUGCGAUACGUAGUGUGAAUUGCAGAAUUCAGUGAAUCAUCGAAUCUUUGAACGCACAUUGCGCCCUUUGGUAUUCCAAAGGGCAUGCCUGUUCGAGCGUCAUUUGUACCCUCAAGCUUUGCUUGGUGUUGGGCGUUGUUUGUCUUUGGUCCGCCCAAAGACUCGCCUUAAAACAAUUGGCAGCCGGCCUACUGGUUUCGCAGCGCAGCACAUUUUUGCGCUUGCAAUCAGCAAAAGAGGUUGGUCAUCCAUCAAGACUACAUUUAUACGUUUGACCUCGGAUCAGGUAGGGAUACCCGCUGAACUUAAGCAUAUCAAU